rnacentral:lncRNA from 1 species
AACAGUCCACAGAGCCAGGCCUAUGGAACUGUUCAAGACAGAGGGAAAUUUGGUGACAACUAGAAUAAGAUAAAACCCACAGGCCUAAGAUCCACAAAAGGGAAAUACCAGGGACAAUUCCUACCCUGACAUUUUUCCAGGCCAUCAUCCUGCUAUUAGAGAAUUAUAUUCACUGAAAUGUCAUCUACUUCAGAAAGAAGGAGCCUAGGUUCAAAUCCUGGCUUUGCCAUUUAUGAUUAUGUUUUUGGGCCAAUGGCAUCACUGCUAUGUUGCCCAGGCUGGUCGUGAUCUCCUAGGCUCAAGUGAUCCUCCUGCCUCGGCCUCCUGAAUAGCUGGGACUAUAGACACAAGCCACUGCACCUGACUUCAUCAACUUCAUAAAAAUCAAACAAAGAAUUUAAGAUUUAAAUCAUUUCUUGUGAAAAUCAUUUUUAACUUUUUAUAUUGAAAUAAUUUCAGACCCAAAUAAUUCUCAUACAAAUUUCUACCUUCAUCCAGAUUCCCUAAACGUUAACAGUUUACUCUCAAAUAUUGAGUUAUAAACAAUAUUUUCCAUCUUCCACUGGACAAAAAGGGCUCCCCACUUGCUCUACACCAGCCUAUUGAUAUUACUAUGGUCACAACUAAAGGUUGUCCAUCUUGAAACUCAGGAAUAUUUACACAUAACAAGACAAAUCUGAAAGUCAGUUUUUUUACGAAGGAAACCAACUGUCAACAUCAACAUGGUAAGAAGCUGGUCUUUGCUUCUCUGUAUAUCAAAACAAAAAAAGCCUUUAGUUUUUAAGUUAAACAUUCAAAAAACCUUCCUAACUAUGGAAAUAUUUAAGACUAGAUAGUACUAUUUUUUAAGUGUUCAUUGCUAAAGAUCUUAAAAUAAAAGCAAGAGAGCAAUCUUCUUUGGAUGGUAAGAAUUUAUUCUUGGGCUGGAAGCUGGGAAAGUACUGGAUUCUCCCUCCAUUCCCUUUCUGAUCCCAGAAGUCUUUGGACCACAGUCCCCUGUCAAUUGGUAACACCCAAGAAACAGCAGAUAGAAAAAGCAGUCACCACACAAGCCACCACACCAUGAGCAAGCACAGGACAUUGAGGCUCUCUGGACCAGCCACAGCUGAGCUCAGCAGGACCACACGGUUCUCAGGAGAGUCCUGCAAACCAGCACCAACAUCUCUGGCCCAGAGCCACAUCUGGCCUUCCCACAUGUAUCGUUGGCUGACCAAAAAGCUGACAGCCGGAGAAGGGAAAAGAACAAGAGGAGUGUGCAGAGCAUAGUGGGCUGCUGAGAAAGCCACCCAGGAGAGGAUCACAGGCACCACAGAAGGCCUGCAUAACAGGGAGGAGACUCUCAGCCUGAAGAUCAUGCUGACCCAGCCAGGAAAAGUAGGAGGGCCUGCUCACUCAUUCAGUGAGGGAACAGGCUCCAUGUGUCUGGGAGGAAGUCACCCGACAGGGAAGAGAAGAAGACACCCACAUGGCGCUUCCUCUAUCCCAAGAUGAUGACAUACCCUGUGUCUAGCGGACAGCUGGAUGUCUGUCUACACUGUCUGGUUGUUGGGAUUUGGUGACUACAUUGCACAGGCUUCCAGGAACAUGCUUUCAAUGGAAAAUGCCAACUCUAGCCACAUGCACUCCUCAGUUACUGAUUCACAGGGCAUCCUUAUGUCCAAACUGGGCCUAGAAGCUGUAGAAUGUAAUAAACACUGGCUCUGGAGUCAGCACCGUCUGGGCUUGAAUCCUGCCUUCUGUCCCUUCUGUCACUAUGUGACCUCAACAAAUUACUUCACCUCUCUGUGCCCUGGUUUCCUCAGCUAUCAUAUGCAUUAAACGGGAUGUUGCCAAUAAAAUGCUUAGCAUAGGGUAUGACCCAAAGGGAGAGCUCAAUAAACACUAGCUAAGAAUAAUUCAUCAGGAUGUCUGCAUACACAGACCCAUAAUGCAGACAGAACUCAAUCACUAUAACAGCAACAGGACCAAGGAGCACCAGAAAGAUGGAUGUGUUCCCAGCUGCAUCUGCUGCACUCUCCCACAGAUGAGUCUCAUCAUCAGAUAGUGAAAGGGGCAAAGGAGAAAACACAGACGUUGAAAGUUGGGAAAAGCCAGGCCAGAAGAGCCUGGGAGCCCUAAUAAAGGUGGGGAUUCACAUUAGAGAAAUGCACAUCAAAACUACCAAGUGAUACCAUCUCAUACCAGUCAGGAUGGCUAUUAUUAAAAAGUCAAAAAACAACAGAUGCUGGCAAGGUUGCAGAGAAAAGGGAAUGCUUAUAUACUGCUGGUGGGAAUGUAAAUUAAUUCAGCUACUGUGGAAAACAGUCUGGAGAUUUCUCAAAGAACUAAAA